ensembl:miRNA predicted gene, 49347
UUUUGGUGUCUGGUGCUGAGUACUUUCAGGCAGUAUUGCACCCCUGAGAGUGGAGUGACUCCUUGUGGAGUUGGUCCUGGUCUGGGUGCAAACAAUUUCCCUGUUAAAAAGA